GGAUAAUAGAUUUAGAGACAGCUUUGGUAGACGAGUGUGACUACGGAACAUUGAGAAAUAUUUGUAAAAAUAGACCAGUGCCAGCACACCUCCGUGCAGAAGUUUGGCAGGUAAAUUUAACGCGAUUGUCUCUUUGUCAUCUUUUAGGGUUAACGUUGAUCAAUAUAAACAUACAUCAGACUCAGGGGAGGCAACUUUAACAUAAGAGGGUGUAAAAUAUUAUACUUAAAUGUUUGUAAAUUGCUUAUAUCAUAUAGGUACAUAUAGAUUUCCAAUUUUGAAAGUGCCUCAAAAAAGACACAAUGUUUGUUUUUUAUUUAAAACACAACAGCUUUAAAAAAGAGACUUCCUGAAUUUAAUAAUGCAUUAUGCAUGAUUUUUUUUUUACAUUUCUUUGUCAGUAAAAGGAAAAUAUUUUAACUGUGAUAUUUGCGGUAUACACAAAAAUAUUUGUUUUUGAGUUACAUGUAAUUGGAGUAUUAACUGAUAUAUCAAAUGGACGGAAUAGUUUUUUUCUUGGAAAACAAACACAAUGAUUUAAAUAGGAUAUAUUUUCUGGUGCGGUAAUUUGAAUACUUUUGGCAAAGAAUGAAUGUAAGUUUUGUAUCAAGUUAGUAAACUUUUUCAUUUAUUUUAUAGAUAUGUUUAGGUGUACAUGGUAAAGGAGAUUCCCUGGCAACAUUUGAUGGAUUGUUUGAUUUGAAAGAACAGGAACAGAUACGACAGGAUUGUAAAUCACUUAUAGGUA
rnacentral:lncRNA from 1 species